rnacentral:rRNA from 1 species
GACGAACGCUGGCGGCAUGCCUAAUACAUGCAAGUUGAACGAUGAUAUUCCCUGCUUGCAGAGAAUUGAAGAGUAGCGAACGGGUGAGUAACACGUGGGGAACCUGCCCAUGAGAGGGGGAUAACAUUCGGAAACGGAUGCUAAUACCGCAUAAUGCUUUGGACCGCCUGGUCCAGAGACGAAAGACGGCUUUUGCUGUCACUCAUGGAUGGCCCCGCGCCGUAUUAGCUAGUUGGUGAGGUAAUGGCUCACCAAAGCUGUGAUACGUAGCCGACCUGAGAGGGUGAUCGGCCACACUGGGACUGAGACACGGCCCAGACUCCUACGGGAGGCAGCAGUAGGGAAUCUUCCACAAAGGGCGAAAGCCUGAUGGAGCAAUGCCGCGUGAAUGAAGAAGGUCUUCGGAUCGUAAAGUUCUGUUAUUAGAGAAGAACAAGUCAAGGAGUAACUGUCUUGACUUUGACGGUACCUAACCAGAAAGUCACGGCUAACUACGUG